GAUGAACGCUGGCGGCGUGCUUAACACAUGCAAGUCGAACGGAAAGGCCGAAGCUUGCUUCGGUACUCGAGUGGCGAACGGGUGAGUAACACGUGGGUGAUCUGCCCUGUACUUCGGGAUAAGCUUGGGAAACUGGGUCUAAUACCGGAUAUGACGAUCUCUUGGAUGGGGUUGUGGAAAGCUUUUGCGGUAUGGGAUGAGCUCGCGGCCUAUCAGCUUGUUGGGGGGGUAAUGGCCUACCAAGGGGUCGACGGGGAGCCGGCCUGAGAGGGGGUACGGCCACAUUGGGACUGAGAUACGGCCCAGACUCCUACGGGAGGCAGCAGUGGGGAAUAUUGCACAAUGGGCGCAAGCCUGAUGCAGCGACGCCGCGUGGGGGAUGACGGCCUUCGGGUUGUAAACUCCUUUCGCAAUCGACGAAGCCUUUUGGUGACGGUAGGUUGAGAAGAAGCACCGGCUAACUACGUG
rnacentral:rRNA from 1 species